rnacentral:rRNA from 1 species
AUGACUCAAGAACUUGAUUAUUAUUGGUCAUUGGAUGCUGAACGUGAUUGUGGAAAAGAGUUAUGCCUAAUUUACAAGGUCCAGCAACAUAUCCGUGACUAUGAUAGAUUCGCAUAUGAGCCAUGUAUUGUAUCAGUUGGCCCGUACCACCAUGGAUCUGCAAGUUUGUUACGUAUGGAAAAUGUAAAAUGGGGAUAUCUGGAUGUAAUCAUGAGACUGAGCUAUGAACUUGCUAAGUAUGUUGAAUCUGCUUUACGUUGGUAUCCCAAAGCAAUUGUGGGACCUGAUAGACCAAAACAUUUUCAACAUUUGCUCCACCUGUGUCACAUUUAUUUUCUACCAAGCCAGAGACCAGAGGAAGACCAUAAUUAUAAUUUUAAACCUUGGUACUUUCACAGUUAUCUCAGUUUUGGACGGAAGUAUUUCAAAUUAAGUUACUAUCUGGAUAACAACGAUCAUGAUAAUUCAUCCCACCACAAAGUGGGUCGACCACAAGGUGGGGAUCAGCUUACUCGCUGGCGACGAGCUGCACAGUAUCUAGAGGCUGGAAUUAAAAUUAAGAGAAGGGAAUAUGAUAUACUCGACCCUCAUUCUCUACUAGACAUUCGGUUUCGCAAUGGUGUUAUGGAGAUUCCAUGCAUUGUUAUGGAUGAGUACACAGGGGGUCUUUUCAGGAACCUUAUUGCGUUUGAACAAACCUGUCCUCAGUUUGGGGAUGACUUCACUGCUUAUAUUGUAUUCUUGUCCCAGCUUAUAAGCAUGCCAGAGGAUGUGACACUGCUUGCUAAGAGAGAAAUCAUCUUGCACCAACUUGACAGUGAUGAUAAUGUGUCUGAUCUCUUCACCACGCUCCAUAAAGAGGUGGUCUUCGAUUUCAAUGGUAACCACUACUUAAAGUCUCUUUGCCAGACCAUGGAAGCUCACUACCAGAAUCGUAUCAAUCGUUGGAUGGCAUGGCUGUGGCUAAAUCACUUCAGGAAUCCAUGGUUGGCUUUAGGUGCUUGUGUAGCUGUCAUUGUGCUAGUCUGCACAAUUGUGCAAACCGUUUAUGGUAUACUGGCCUACGUUAAUCCGCCAGAGUAG